rnacentral:lncRNA from 1 species
UGAUCAAGUUUGCUGCUGAAAUCAAGCACUUCUGCACAUAUACAUCAGAAUUCUGUGGAAAAACUAAAGGGAAGAGGAAAUAGAUUUGCUGGAGCACAAAGAUGAAUUGAGAAUACACUAAAAAUAAACUCCCUCAUUGAUUAACAUCUACUACCUUUAAAUAUGCUUUACAGAGCUAUAAAUAAAGAAGAACAUGGCAUACAGGAUGAAAACAGAACUAAGAACAUGGGU